rnacentral:rRNA from 1 species
AUUGAACGCUGGCGGCAUGCCUUACACAUGCAAGUCGAACGGUAACAGGUCUUCGGAUGCUGACGAGUGGCGAACGGGUGAGUAAUACAUCGGAACGAGCGUAGUAGUGGGGGAUAACUCCUCGAAAGAGUGGCUAAUACCGCAUAAGAUCUACGGAUGAAGGCAGGGGAUCGCAAGACCUUGCGCUACUCGCGCGGCGGGUGGCAGAUUAGGUAGUUGGUGGGAUAAAAGCUUACCAAGCCGACGAUCAGUAGCUGUUCUGAGAGGACGAUCAGCCACACUGGGACUGAGACACGGCCCAGACUCCUACGGGAGGCAGCAGUGGGGAAUUUUGGACAAUGGGCGAAAGCCCGAUCCAGCAAUGCCGCGUGCAGGAUGAAGGCCUUCGGGUUGUAAACUGCUUUUGUACGGAACGAAAAGCCCUGGGUGAAUAUCCUGGGGUCAUGACGGUACCGUGAGAAUAAGCACCGGCUAACUACGUGCCAGCCGCCGCGGUAAUAC